GAUCAUGGCUCAGAACGAACGCUGGCGGCAGGCCUAACACAUGCAAGUCGAGCGAGACCUUCGGGUCUAGCGGCGGACGGGUUAGUAACGCGUGGGAACGUGCCCUUCACUACGGAAUAGUCCUGGGAAACUGGGUUUAAUACCGUAUACGCCCUUCGGGGGAAAGAAUUUCGGUGAAGGAUCGGCCCGCGUUGGAUUAGGUAGUUGGUGCGGUAACGGCGCACCAAGCCGACGAUCCAUAGCUGGUUUGAGAGGAUGAUCAGCAACACUGGGACUGAGACACGGCCCAGACUCCUACGGGAGGCAGCAGUGGGGAAUCUUAGACAAUGGGGGCAACCCUGAUCUAGCCAUGCCGCGUGAGUGACGAAGGCCCUAGGGUCGUAAAGCUCUUUCACCAGGGAAGAUAAUGACGGUACCUGGAGAAGAAACCCCGGCUAACUCCGUGCCAGCAGCCGCGGUAAUACGGAGGGGGUUAG
rnacentral:rRNA from 1 species